AGAAAAUUCUGAAGGGGUGAGAUUUAGAAGCAGCCAAAGCCUCUCAUAUCUCUUUCUUCUUCCUCCGAUCACUCUGGUUAUGCUGUUUUAAUUUCAACGCACGCAUUUCUUUCGGGAAAAAGAGAAAAGAUGCAUAUAACCAAUUAUUCUGAGAAUUGAUCGAGGAAUUGCUGAUUUCUCUAUGACAUUAGUUUUUUCUUUUCCGGCGUAAAGAUAAAAAAUGGACCGUACGGAUCGACUAGCUGUGAAGGGUAAACGCCAUAACCUCCAU